AGGGUUUGAUCCUGGCUCAGAGUGAACGCUGGCGGCGUGGAUUAGGCAUGCAAGUCGAGCGAUCUUAAUAAAUGAACUAUUUGAAAUUUUGGAAGUUCUGCCUUGUGUGGAAUGGAAAAAAUGGAUUGUAGCUAGUUUUUUAAGAUAGCGGCAAAAGGGUGAGUAACGCGUGGGUAAUUUGCCCUGAGAUGAGGGAUAGCUUCGUGAAAGCGAAGGUAAUACCUCGUAAGUCCUGUGUCAUCUAGACACCGGGGAAAGGUGGCGAAUAUUUACUUCGGUAGAUAUGCUAUCGUCUUAGGAGGAGCCCGCGUCCUGUCAGCUUGUUGGUGGGGUAAUGGCCUACCAAGGCGAUGACGGGUAGCUGGCAUUAGCGUGUGGUCAGCCACACCGGGACUGAGACACUGCCCGGACUCCUACGGGAGGCUGCAGUCGAGAAUCUUUCCCAAUGCCCGAAAGGGUGAGGAUGCGACGCCGCGUGGAGGAUGAAGGUUUUCGGAUUGUAAACUCCUUUUGUUAAGGAAGAAAUCCCUGUGAUGAAUAAGCAUAGGGGCUGACGUUACUUAACGAAUAAGCCACGGCUAAAUCCGUGCCAGCAGCCGCGGUAAUACGGAUGUGGCGAGCGUUACUCGGUAUUACUGGGUGUAAAGGGUCCGCAGGCGGCCAAUUAAGUAAGAGGUGAAAUCUUUCGGCUUAACUGAAAAACUGCCUCUUAUACUGUUUGGCUAGAGGGUAAGAGAGGAAAGCGGAACUGCCGGUGUAAGGGUGAAAUCUGUGGAUAUCGGCAGGAACGCCAGUGACGAAGGUGGCUUUCUGGUUUAUACCUGACGCUCAGGGACGAAAGCUAGGGGAGAGAACAGGAUUAGAUACCCUGGUAUUCCUAGCCGUAAACGAUGGGUACUAGGUGUUUCGACCUUUGGUCGGAGCGCCGUAGCUAACGCGUUAAGUACCCCACCUGGGGACUACGGCCGCAAGGCUAAAACUCAAAGGAAUUGACGGGGGCCCGCACAAGCGGUGGAACACGUGGUUUAAUUCGAUGCUACGCGAGGAACCUUACCAGGGUUUUGACAUGCUAGAAGUACUCCGGUAGAAACACUGGGAGACCGUAUCCAAUCGGCGUCUAGCACAGGUGCUGCAUGGUUGUCGUCAGCUCGUGCCGUGAGGUGUCGCCUUAAGUGGUUUAACGAGCGCAACCCUCGCCUUUAGUUGCUACCCUAAUGAUUCAUUAGGCGCACUCUAGAGGGACUGCCCACGUUAAGUGGGAGGAAGGCGGGGAUGACGUCAAAUCAGCAUGGUCCUUAUGUCCUGGGCUACACACGUGUUACGAUGGCGUGUACAGUGGGAGGCUAAGCCGUAAGGUGGAGCAAAUCCCGUAAAGCACGCCUCAGUUCGGAUUGAGGGCUGAAACCUGCCCUCAUGAAGCUGGAAUCGCUAGUAACGGCGUAUCAGCAACGACGCCGUGAAUACGUUCCCGGGCCUUGUACACACCGCCCGUCAAGCGCCGAAAGUGGGGGGCACUCGAAGCUCCGUUUAUUCGGAGACACAGUGAAUUUCAUGAUUGGUGCUAAGUCGUAACAAGGUA
rnacentral:rRNA from 1 species